AUGUGUCUCAGACCUAAGUUGUUGCCGCUGGACCGUGGUUACAUGCAUCCUCGCUUGGAGGCAGCGGUGCUGGGAGAUAUGCAUGUCCAAGGCGAAGAAGUGGACGAAGCCCGAAGAAGCAAUCUGUGUCUCCUUAUCGCUGUGUCCUGCUUCUCAAUAUGUCACCUUAGUUAUGGCCGCAUUAUCUCUCAUGCUGCUGAUUUAAACCUGCCCUACUCUUCUUCUCCUAGGCUAGUCGAGCGCUUCAGCGGGUGCCUCCCCGACGACGGGGAAGGAAGGAUCAGAAGUGAUGGCUAUAGCGCUAAGAAAUUGGAAACCCUAGCAAUUGAUCUUCUCUAUAAACAUUUGUGGCAAGGAACGUGGAGCCUGCUUCAGGGAAGAAGAGAUGGAUCACGUGAGAGAAGAGACCAGCUUGCAUCCUUUAUCGGAGAGACAAUUGUUUUUUUUUGCCAAUUGCCUAGUCCAUAUUGUCCAUGUGUUCGAUGCAUGCAAACGUGUGGCUCUUGGAGUUUGUAG
rnacentral:rRNA from 1 species